rnacentral:rRNA from 1 species
UACGAAGGGGGCUAGCGUUGUUCGGAAUCACUGGGCGUAAAGCGCACGUAGGCGGAUCUUUAAGUCAGGGGUGAAAGCCCGGGGCUCAACCUCGGAAUUGCCUUCGAUACUGGAAAGCUCGAGUCCGGGAGAGGUGAGUGGAACUGCGAGUGUAGAGGUGAAAUUCGUAGAUAUUCGCAAGAACACCAGUGGCGAAGGCGGCGCACUGGCCCGGUACUGACGCUGAGGUGCGAAAGCGUGGGGAGCAAACAGG